AUGGCGGCCGGGCCGGGGCCGUGGCUGCUGGCCUUGGCCUUGGCCUUGUGGCCCGCAGGGCUCCGCGCACAGCCGAGGCUGCAGGAGGCCGGCGGAGCGCUGCGAGUGGCCGGGGACUCCAUCACCCUCUCCUGCCGUGGCUCCGGAUUCACCUUUAGGAAUUAUGCAAUUUUGUGGUACCGUCAGGCACCCGGAGCCCGGCCGGAGUGGAUAUCCGUUGUCAGCUCUCUGUCGGGCAGUGUAAAGGAAUACGGGGCAGCAGUGAAGGGUCGGGCCGAGACUUCCCGGGACAAUUCCCGGUCCGAGGUUUAUCUCUCCCUUCUGACCCUGCACCCCCGCGACUCUGCCCGAUACUUCUGUGCUGUUCACACGGGGACAGGAAAGCCAGCUGAGCUUUAACACAAACCAGCUCGGGUCUGGCUCAGCACCCAAGACAUUUGGAGAUGGUGAAUUCCAGAGUGUUUCAAGGCUGUUCUUAAGAAAUCGGGACCAUCCCAUGCACCACAAGUGAUCCAGGGCUUUCAUCAAGAGCUCCUUUCCCAGCAGUGAGGCUUUCCUUCCGAGUCCUAAUUGCAAAGUUUCAUGCUGUAGGGGAGGUUCAAGGUUUUUCUGUUAUCCUGUCAGCGUGGUGACUGCCUGGCUCCAGUCCCACUCUGCCUUCCUUGGCCCCCUUCUUAAGUGGAACACACAAAUCACCUGGGCUUUGACAACACCUUUGCCAGCUUCCUUUGACCCUUUUGGGGGCCAUCUCCUUGCACCACUGAGAGCAAAGCAGUGAGUCAAUGGGUCUGAUUUACUUUCAGGCGCAUUUCGAGGUGAUGAGAUCCAAGCAACAAGCUCUGCAGUGUGGUGGCCAGCAGGGAACACUGGGACUCCGUUGCACUUAGAGCUCCAAAGCCUCGUGUAUUUGCAUGGCCGGGUAUCUGCAGUGUCCUGGUGAACCCCUGCAGUGCCUGCUGCAGUGCCAGGCCCGGGGAGGCUCCAGCAGCCACACAGCCCCUUUUGCCCACAGCAGGAUUUCCUGCCAGGCUGACGAGAGCUCUGGGACACUGACCAUCAGCAGGCUGGAGCUGGGGGACAGUGCACUGUAUCACUGCACCCUGGAGGGACUGCAGCGAGAGACACUUGGGGUGUGCCUGAAGUACAUCAGCUUCCUCCCCUUCUGCAUGUUCACGUGGGUCCCAGCGCAUGCAGUGGAGAGUCAGUGGGUGGCUGUGCCUGGAGUCAGAGAAUCGGGGCCCCAUUAGUCCUGGGGGCUCGUCAAGAAGAGGAGUGAAAGGCAGGGGAGAGAGAAAAGAGGAUGUUUUCCAUUUAAAGGGAGCUGUGUUGACCAUCUGGUCCAAUUGAUGAACCACUUUCAGGGCUGUACAAAAGUUGCAGCAUGUUUCAAGUGACGUUGUCCAAACAUCUCUUAAACACUGACAGGC